GAUGAACGCUGGCGGCGUGCCUAAUACAUGCAAGUCGAGCGAACAGAUGAGGAGCUUGCUCCUCUGACGUUAGCGGCAGACGGGUGAGUAACACGUGGAUAACCUACCUAUAAGACUGGGAUAACUUCGGGAAACCGGAGCUAAUACCGGAUAAUAUAUUGAACCGCAUGGUUCAAUAGUGAAAGACGGUUUUGCUGUCACUUAUAGAUGGAUCCGCGCCGCAUUAGCUAGUUGGUAAGGUAACGGCUUACCAAGGCAACGAUGCGUAGCCGACCUGAGAGGGUGAUCGGCCACACUGGAACUGAGACACGGUCCAGACUCCUACGGGAGGCAGCAGUAGGGAAUCUUCCGCAAAGGGCGAAAGCUUGACGGAGCAACGCCGCGUGAGUGAUGAAGGUCUUCGGAUCGUAAAACUCUGUUAUUAGGGAAGAACAAAUGUGUAAGUAACUAUGCACGUCUUGACGGUACCUAAUCAGAAAGCCACGGCUAACUACGUG
rnacentral:rRNA from 1 species